rnacentral:lncRNA from 1 species
CAUCAUGCCAGAUAAUAGAGAAAAUCAAAUAAAUUAUGAAAUGCUUAGAUUUUUGUGUCAUGUUUUGCGAAGUCAUUACGACUUCCAUCUUUGAGGGCAGAUACAGAUUUCCAACUAUCUAAGUGGAAUGAUCAAAUCCGAUACAGAUACGACAAUUUGCUUAGGCCCAUUUUUGGCUGGCCAAACCAUGGUACAUCUAUGACCACAAUCGUACUAGCCAUAGUGGCCCUAACAGAUAU